AAGUAAAAAAUUGCUUAAGGUGCCCGUUUGGGAGAAUAGGGAAGUCCGGUGCAAAUCCGGUGCGGUCCCGCCACUGUAAAGGGGAGCUUCUUAAAAUAUCCACUGGCUAUAAUGCCGGGAAGGGUUAAGCAGCUAUGAACCUCAGCCAGGAGACCUGCCUUAAGAAUCGGUUUUCC
rnacentral:ncRNA from 1 species